GGAGGAAUAUUGGGCAAUGGGCGAAAGCCUGACCCAGCAACGCCGCGUGGAGGAUGAAAGCCUUCGGGUUGUAAACUCCUUUUGAGGGAGACGAGAAAGGACGGUAUCCCUCGAAUAAGUCACGGCUAACUACGUGCCAGCAGCCGCGGUAAAACGUAGGUGACGAGCGUUAUCCGGAUUUACUGGGCGUAAAGAGCUUGUAGGUGGCUCUGUAAGUUGGGUGUGAAAGCCCCGGGCUUAACUCGGGGAGGUUGCUCAAUACUGCAGGGCUUGAGGAUGUCAGAGGGAAGUGGAAUUCCUGGUGUAGCAGUGAAAUGCGUAGAUAUCAGGAGGAACACCCGUGGCGAAGGCGGCUUCCUGGGGCACUCCUGACACUGAGAAGCGAAAGCUAGGGGAGCGAACGGG
rnacentral:rRNA from 1 species